CGGAGACAGCCCGAGGGCGCGGGGCUCCAGAGCUCCUGUCAAGUGCGGGCGAGGAGGUACGAGCACACCUCGGGGAAGAAGCAAACGCUGCUCGUCCCUCCCUGCCGGGCAGGAGCAGCGAACGUGCAGGGAAGGGAAGGGGCAGAGCUCGGGGGGGGUCCCUCCGGGGCGCUCCCUGCUCUCCGCCCGGACUCCCACCCGGCUCCGUUCCUCCUCUGGAGCAGCGCUGCCGCUCGGCCCGAUGUAAUACCGGGCGCAGGCAGCCUCAAAGCCUUCCCUUUUAAACAGGAGGGGGGAGAGAGCCGGGGCGGCGGGGUGUCCCCCACGGGGGGGGAGGCGACGGCGGCGGGCGACGGCGCCCCGGGCUGGCUCCCCGCGGCCCCACCACGUCACCCCACGGCGGGGCGGGGCGGCCCUAUAAAGGGCCCUAUAAAGGGCCGUGUCCCCGCGCGGCCGCGAUGCUGGCUGCCGCCACCCGUCCCCUCCUCGCCGGGAGCGCCGUGGCCGGGGGGCGCCGGGGGGGGAGCCGCCGGGGGGGGGGGCAGCGGCGCGGCUCGGCCCCGGGACGCUGCUGCCGGGGAGGCGGCGGCGGCGCUGCCUGGCGGAGCGCGGCGGAAGGAGGAGGAAGAGGAGGGAGCUGCGAAAAAAGCGCAGCGGCCCGGGCGGGGGUGGGUCGGUGCAUGCGGCGCGGGGCGCAGGCAGCAGCCGGCGGGAGGCGGGCGGCCGGAGCAACACCAGCAGCAGCAGCAGCAGCAGAAGCAGCAGCACCGCUCGCUGCCGGGGCUCGGGGCUGCGCGCCGCCGGCGGCACACGUGCGCGCCUCCCCCGGUGCCGCAGCGCCCUGCCGUACCCAUCACUUCUUCCCUAACUCCCUCCCUCCUUCCCUCCUCUUUUUUUUUUUUUUUUUUUUUUUGGUGCCUGUGUGCGUUUUCCACCCUGCUCCGCCAGCUCGCUGAGAACAGCCUCUUUUCCGACUUACGCGACUCGCGGGUUUGUUUAUCGGUUUGUUCCCCCUCCCCACACCCCCGUCUUAUUCUAUUUUAUUUUUUCGCCCCUCCGAUUUUCCUCCAGUCGUAG
rnacentral:lncRNA from 1 species